AUGGGAGUGGGCGCGGUGCUCAUGCAGGAUGCUCACCCUCUGGCCUACUUGAGCAAGGCUCUCGCCCCACGCAACCUUGGACUGUCUGCAUAUGAAAAGGAAUGCCUAGCGCUGAUGCUUGCAGUAGACCACUGGCGCCCGUAUCUGCAACACGUGGAGUUCUUGGUGCGCACGGAUCAAAAGAGCAUACUCCAUUUGACAGAUCAGCGACUUAACACACCAAUUCAACAUAGAGCCUUCACCAAGCUCGUGGGUCUUCAAUUUCAGAUUCAAUACAAAACUGGCAUCACCAACAAGGCAGUCGAUGCAUUGUCAAGAAGAGUUCAUUGGGAGGAGGAGGAGCUCACGGCAAUCUCGGUCUGUAGGCCAGCAUGGCUCGAGGCUGUUGCAAGCAGUUAUCAUCAGGACACGGAGGCCCAGCGCAAACUGGAACAACUAACGCUGGAUCCAACCAAUGCCAACGAUUACUCACUGCAGGAUGGGGUGAUUCGUCACAAAGGGCGCAUUUGGAUUGGCUCGGAUGAAACAACUCAGUUAGCCUUGAUCAAAGCUUUGCACAACAGUGCGAUCGAGGGCCAUUCAAGAUUCUAUGCUAUCUAUCAUCGCGUCAAAAAUCUCUUCUCCUGGAAAGGUAUGAAGGCCAUGAUCAAGCAAUACGUGAAAGCAUGCGACACUUGUCAGAGAGCCAAGACAGAGCGGAUCUCUCCAGCUAGGUUACUGCAACCUCUCCCCAUUCCUAAAAGACCGUGGGCAGUGGUGUCUCUUGAUUUUAUCGAAGGGCUGCCAACCUCAGGAGGACAGAACAUGAUCUUAGUGGUGGUGGAUAAAUUCUCGAAAUAUGCUCAUUUCGUACCCCUGAAACACCCUUACACAACGUUGAUAGUGGGAGAAGCAUUCAUGAAGAACAUUUUUUGUUUGCAUGGGUUGCCCUUGGCCAUCAUCUCGGACAGAGACCGAAUCUUCACUAGCGUGAUUUGGCAGGAACUAUUCAAGGUAUUGCAAACCGAGCUGAGAUUGAGCUAA
rnacentral:rRNA from 1 species